rnacentral:sRNA from 1 species
UGAUAGUGACAGUGAUUUUGAAGUGCU